CCGCACAGAUGGUUGCUUUGCCACGUGAGGUCGACCAGGUACAGCAUCCAGUUGUGCGAAU
rnacentral:pre_miRNA from 1 species